UGGGGAAUUUUGGACAAUGGGGGAAACCCUGAUCCAGCCAUGCCGCGUGGGUGAAGAAGGCCUUCGGGUUGUAAAGCCCUUUCGGCCGGAACGAAAUCGCCAUCUCUAAUACGGGUGGUGGAUGACGGUACCGGAAGAAGAAGCACCGGCUAACUACGUGCCAGCAGCCGCGGUAAUACGUAGGGUGCGAGCGUUAAUCGGAAUUACUGGGCGUAAAGCGUGCGCAGGCGGCUUCUCAAGUCAGGUGUGAAAUCCCCGGGCUCAACCUGGGAAUUGCGCUUGAAACUGGGUGGCUAGAGUGCGGCAGAGGGAGGUGGAAUUCCUGGUGUAGCAGUGAAAUGCGUAGAUAUCAGGAGGAACACCGAUGGCGAAGGCAGCCUCCUGGGCUGACACUGACGCUCAUGCACGAAAGCGUGGGGAGCAAACAGG
rnacentral:rRNA from 1 species